rnacentral:sRNA from 1 species
AGAAAUCCCUCAUCCACCAUUCCAGAAGUGCCUCUCAAUCUGCCUGUGCUUUUAAUCCCUAUGCAUAUUGCCUCUCUAUUUGAUAUCUAAAUAAUGGCCUAUAAAUAUUUAUUGGCAGCCAUGAAAGUCCACUGUUUGAUUUCAUUGAGAGCUGCUUGCGAAAUAAACAUGAAAUGGUUAUUUAUGAAGCUGCUUCAGCUAUCAUCCAUCUUCCUAACUGCACUGCAAGAGAGUUGGCACCUGCUGUUUCAGUUCUUCAGCUUUUCUGUAGUUCUCCUAAGCCAGCCUUGAGAUAUGCAGCUGUGAGGACCUUGAACAAGGUGGCAAUGAAGCACCCCUCUGCUGUUACUGCCUGCAAUCUGGACUUAGAAAACUUAAUCACAGACUCAAACAGAAGCAUUGCUACCUUAGCCAUUACUACACUCCUCAAAACAGGAAGUGAGAGCAGUGUGGACCGGCUCAUGAAGCAGAUAUCUUCUUUUGUGUCUGAAAUCUCAGAUGAGUUCAAGGUGGUGGUUGUACAGGCAAUUAGUGCUCUCUGUCAGAAAUACCCUCGAAAGCACAGUGUCAUGAUGACUUUCCUCUCCAACAUGCUCCGAGAUGAUGGAGGCUUUGAGUACAAGCGGGCCAUUGUGGACUGCAUAAUCAGCAUUGUGGAAGAGAACCCUGAGAGUAAAGAAGCAGGCCUAGCCCACCUUUGUGAAUUCAUUGAGGACUGUGAACACACUGUUCUGGCUACUAAGAUUCUACACUUGUUGGGCAAAGAGGGCCCUAGAACGCCUGUCCCCUCCAAAUAUAUCCGUUUUAUUUUUAAUAGGGUUGUCCUGGAGAAUGAGGCUGUCAGAGCUGCUGCUGUGAGUGCUUUGGCUAAAUUUGGGGCUCAGAAUGAGAGUCUUCUCCCAAGCAUCCUUGUACUCUUACAGAGGUGUAUGAUGGAUACUGAUGACGAGGUACGAGACAGAGCUACCUUCUAUCUGAAUGUGCUGCAGCAGAGGCAGAUGGCACUAAAUGCCACGUAUAUCUUUAAUGGUUUGACGGUCUCUGUACCAGGGAUGGAAAAAGCCUUACACCAGUACACGUUGGAGCCUUCAGAAAAACCGUUUGACAUGAAAUCAAUUCCUCUUGCUAUGGCUCCUGUCUUUGAACAGAAAGCAGAAAUCACACUUGUGGCUACUAAGCCAGAGAAGUUGGCUCCUUCCAGGCAAGACAUUUUCCAAGAACAAUUGGCUGCCAUUCCUGAGUUUCUGAAUAUAGGACCCUUGUUCAAGUCUUCUGAGCCUGUUCAACUUACAGAAGCAGAGACAGAAUAUUUUGUUCGAUGUAUCAAGCACAUGUUUACCAAUCACAUCGUGUUCCAGUUUGACUGCACCAACACUCUCAAUGACCAGCUGCUGGAAAAAGUGACAGUGCAGAUGGAGCCAUCAGAUUCCUAUGAAGUGCUGUCUUGUAUCCCAGCCCCCAGCCUUCCUUAUAACCAACCAGGAAUAUGUUACACUCUUGUUCGUUUGCCUGAUGAUGACCCUACAGCAGUUGCAGGCUCCUUUAGCUGCACCAUGAAGUUUACAGUCCGGGACUGUGACCCUAACACUGGAGUUCCAGAUGAGGAUGGGUAUGAUGAUGACUGGAAGAUCUCGAAGUGACUGUGUCUGACCAUAUUCAGAAAGUACUGAAGCCUAACUUUGCUGCUGCUUGGGAAGAGGUGGGAGAUACCUUUGAGAAAGAGGAAACCUUUGCCCUCAGUUCUACCAAAACCCUUGAAGAGGCUGUCAACAAUAUCAUCACAUUUCUGGGCAUGCAGCCAUGUGAGAGGUCCGAUAAAGUACCUGAGAACAAGAAUUCCCAUUCGCUCUAUCUGGCAGGUAUAUUCAGAGGUGGCUAUGAUUUAUUGGUGAGGUCCAGGCUGGCCUUAGCCGAUGGAGUGACCAUGCAGGUGACUGUCAGAAGUAAAGAGAGAACACCUGUAGAUGUUAUCUUAGCUUCUGUUGGAUAAAUGCUUACUGGACAAGAGGAAACUGAUGCACACUACAUGGUCAGUGGGCUUUUAGGCUAGUGGCAUCAGUUUCCCAGAAUCAGACUUUUGAAGAUGAAUGACUUUGGAGAAGUAAAUUAAACAUUUGGCCCUGAGCCAGCAGAUCAAGCAAA